rnacentral:rRNA from 1 species
UACCAGCACCCCGAGUGGUCGGGACGAUUAUUGGGCCUAAAGCAUCCGUAGCCGGUUCUACAAGUCUUCCGUUAAAUCCACCUGCUUAACAGAUGGGCUGCGGAGGAUACUAUGGAGCUAGGAGGCGGGAGAGGCAAGCGGUACUUAGUGGGUAGGGGUAAAAAUCCGUUGAUCCAUUGAAGACCACCAGUGGCGAAGGCGGCUUGCCAGAACGCACUCGACGGUGAGG